rnacentral:lncRNA from 1 species
UCUAGGUCUGCUACCCAAAUUAAUUCAAUUUGCAUUAAUAUACUUGGCAUAAUGUAACAGCAUGUAGUAGUUUGUAAUACUAUUCAUCUAGGUCUCUUUCAGAGUGUGGCUUUUUUUAUGUUCAUAUUACUUUAACUGAGCAAUGGGUGAACCAUAUGCAGCUUGGUGAGGCUUUUAGGUGAGGUCAGUACCAUGUGCAUUUGCCAAGGCUUCAUGGUACGAUUUCAGGUUUAGGUCAAGUACGUACAAUAGGGAUCAUGUUAGCAUAUGCUCAUGCCAUAAGAGUCAUUCUUGUUUUUGAUGAAUUAUAGAAUGCCAACAUGUUUUUUAUCAUUAUAAUACGCAGAAAAGCAAGAGGAUCAAUCAAAUGGAUCACACUGGCAACAUGUUG